CACGCUGUAAACGAUGAUUACUAGCUGUUGGCGAUACAAAGUCAGUGGCCAAGCGAAAGCAAUAAGUAAUCCACCUGGGGAGUACGAUCGCAAGAUUGAAACUCAAAGGAAUUGACGGGGGCCCGCACAAGCGGAGGAACAUGUGGUUUAAUUCGAUGAUACGCGAGGAACCUUACCUGGGCUUAAAUGUAUGUUGCAUGGAGUGGAAACAUUCCUUUCCUUCGGGACUACGUACAAGGUGC
rnacentral:rRNA from 1 species